UUCAGACGAUGCGUCAUGCAUAUCAAUAAGCGGAGGAAAAGAAACUAACAAGGAUUCCCCUAGUAACGGCGAGUGAAGCGGGAAGAGCUCAAAUUUGAAAUCUUAAAGGGUUUCCCUUUACGAAUUGUAGUUUAAAGAAGUGUUUUCUGUUGAGGUUUUGGUAAAAGUUCUUUGGAAUAGGACAUCAUAGAGGGUGAGAAUCCCGUAUUUGACCUUUACUUUCAACUUUGUGAUACACUUUCAAAGAGUCGGAUUGUUUGGGAAUGCAGUCCAAAAUGGGUGGUAAAUUUCAUCUAAAGCUAAAUAUUGGCGAGAGACCGAUAGCGAACAAGUACCGUGAGGGAAAGAUGAAAAGAACUUUGAAAAGAGAGUUAAACAGUACGUGAAAUUGUCAAAAGGGAAGCGUUUGACACCAGUGUUGUUUUUCUGAAAAUCAAUUAAAGAACUGUUUAUGCUAAGUUGUUUAGACUUUAUCAGCUAUCUGUUUAGUUUUGAGCUUUUCUUUAAUGCACUUUUCAGUUAACAAGUCAACAUCAAUUUCUUUUGCUGUAAAAAAGCUUGAGGAAGGUGGCUUGAGAUUCGUCUUAAGUGUUUAUAGCCUCUUGCCUAUGCAGUCGGAGAGAUUGAGGUCUGCAGCGUAGAUCCUUCGGGGCUAAAUGCAUUUGUGCUAAGUUAUAGCAUUUUAUAGACAACUUGUUGACUAUGAUUUGUCUUGUAGCUUACUCGCUUAUGUUAUUUUACCUACGCUUAGGAUGUUGAGCGCAUGUCUCUCUCU
rnacentral:rRNA from 1 species